AUGGAUAAAGCAAGACUUGGAAACGGGGCAGCUGAAGAAGUGACUCGUGAAUCGCUUAUCGCCAUUUCUUACCUUGAACCAUAUAAGAUUCUCCCUUCAAAUCUCUCAUCUGGAAAGUUGAAUGGUGAAACUCUGGUUAAAACGAUUGAUUCUGAUCAAGAGAAAUUUAGAUAUGAGCUGAUGUCUAUUUCCUACUGUUCACCCCAAAAACGUCGCUUUGUAUUCUAG
rnacentral:lncRNA from 1 species